rnacentral:rRNA from 1 species
AUGGCGCCCGCCUGCCUCCUAUUGCCACUCCUCCUGCUCCCAUUCGCCCCAGGUCCAGCACAGGCCGCGACGCCGGCAAGGUCUCCGUCGGCGUCAGCAUCAUCCUCCUCCACGUCCGUCGUGUUCCAGCUCCAGGGCGACGUAUAUCCCACCGGGCAUUACUAUGCCACCAUGAACAUUGGGGAUCCGGCGAGGCCCUACUUCUUGGACAUUGACACCGGCAGUGACCUCACUUGGCUGCAGUGCGACGCUCCCUGCCAAAGCUGCAACAAGGUAGAGUACUAG